GAGGGCGUGGAGGGAGAGGCAGGCAGAGACUCAGGGCUCUGGCAAGCUGGCGGAGGUCCCCUUGGGGGGGGUCACGCCUCCCGGAGCUCAGGGACCCCUGAGCUUGAACACAUUCCCGGUGCGGCCCUCUGCACAGGGCCCGGCUGUCUCCCAGUUCAUCCGCCGAGGCAGCAGCAGUGGACUCAUCCAUCGUGGAGGAAGCCCCCCGGACCCCAGAGACCCUGGGAACACUGGCCCCAGCCUGCUCCUAGGAGGAGCCUCUGAGCCAAUCCUUGCCCCCCACCCACAGCCCCCUCCCUCCUUUGUCUUCGGCAGACAAUCACCUGAUGGCGGCUUCUCCAGGUCAGUGCUUGGCUCUGAAGGGGUUGCAAGAAUGACACACAACACGGUUCCUGCCUUCAAAAUGCCUCCCAUCUGCUUAGAAAGAUAGAGCGUCCACACAGGCAGGGGUCUGCGAAGCUCCUGGAGAGGUGGCAUUGAGGCUGAGUGCUGAAGAAUGAACAGGAUUUCAGCAAGCAGGGAGGAGUAUGUGCAGCAGACAGUGCCAUGCCAUGGGAUGGAGGCAGGACGAGAGGCCCGCUGGGCAUCGAUCGGCUCCAGAGCAGAUUGGCUGGAGCCCAGGCACUGAGCCUGGCCAGAGGCUGGGCUGGACUUUGGGCUCCCAGCAUCUUGAGGACAAGGGCCAAGUUGGGGUGUGACGCUGUGAAUCCUGGAGUAACAGCCCAGCACCGAGAGGAGGGGGAGUGUGACACCUGAAGGAGACCCAGCCUGGGGCCCGAGACCAGGGUUCGGGUCCUGGCUCCCAUCUGAGCUUGGUGCUCUGAGGCUGAUCUCCUUCCUCCUCUGAGUUGGCUCCCUCGCCUGUGAAAUGGGAAUAAUAAAACCUGACUUACCUCCCAAUUUCACCAUAAUCAUUACCACAGCAUAGGAAUGUGAAGUUACAAAUCAGCAUGUAAAAUGCAAAG
rnacentral:lncRNA from 1 species